rnacentral:rRNA from 1 species
AUUGAACGCUGGCGGCAGGCUUAACACAUGCAAGUCGAGCGGGCGAGGUUGCUUCGGUAACUGAGCUAGCGGCGGACGGGUGAGUAAUGCUUAGGAAUCUGCCUAUUAGUGGGGGACAACAUUCCGAAAGGGAUGCUAAUACCGCAUACGUCCUACGGGAGAAAGCAGGGGCUCUUUAUGACCUUGCGCUAAUAGAUGAGCCUAAGUCGGAUUAGCUAGUUGGUGGGGUAAAGGCCUACCAAGGCGACGAUCUGUAGCGGGUCUGAGAGGAUGAUCCGCCACACUGGGACUGAGACACGGCCCAGACUCCUACGGGAGGCAGCAGUGGGGAAUAUUGGACAAUGGGGGGAACCCUGAUCCAGCCAUGCCGCGUGUGUGAAGAGGGCCUUUUGGUUGUAAAGCACUUUAAGUGGGGAGGAGGCUUACCUGGUUAAUACCUGGGCUAAGUGGACGUUACCCACAGAAUAAGCACCGGCUAACUCUGUGCCAGCAGCCGCAGUAA